ACGCACUUCCACUAGCUGGUGAU
rnacentral:snRNA from 1 species